rnacentral:rRNA from 1 species
GACGAACGCGGGCGGCGUGCUUAACACAUGCAAGUCGAACGGAAAGGCCCUGCUUUUGUGGGGUGCUCGAGUGGCGAACGGGUGAGUAACACGUGAGUAACCUGCCCUUGACUUUGGGAUAACUUCAGGAAACUGGGGCUAAUACCGGAUAGGAGCUCCUGCUGCAUGGUGGGGGUUGGAAAGUUUCGGCGGUUGGGGAUGGACUCGCGGCUUAUCAGCUUGUUGGUGGGGUAGUGGCUUACCAAGGCUUUGACGGGUAGCCGGCCUGAGAGGGUGACCGGCCACAUUGGGACUGAGAUACGGCCCAGACUCCUACGGGAGGCAGCAGUGGGGAAUAUUGCACAAUGGGCGGAAGCCUGAUGCAGCAACGCCGCGUGCGGGAUGACGGCCUUCGGGUUGUAAACCGCUUUCGCCUGUGACGAAGCGUGAGUGACGGUAAUGGGUAAAGAAGCACCGGCUAACUACGUC